rnacentral:lncRNA from 1 species
AGAAUAGGCUAAAAAUAAGAUUUUGUAAAGCUAAAGUAAAAGGAAGGGAGUUAUCUAUAUCUGUAUCCUAGAUCUCAAUUUCUAUCUAGAUAAAUGUAUUUGUAGGCAGAUGUAGACAGAUAUAGAUACAGAAUAGUGUUUUAUUACUUGGAAAUAUGUAUGCUACCCCUCUGUGUUUAAAAUUAUCAAUUUUAUAAUUAAUUGCGUUAAAGAAAUCAUUCAGCUAGUACUUCUUGGCUGCCUGUCUGGCACAAUACAUAAUGUUAGGCUAGAUACUCUAUCUUCUUAUUUGAAAUAUAUAGAGAAAUUAUCUUAUGCUGGUAUUUUGAUAGGGAUUACCUUGACUCUAGAUUGUCAUUUGCAUAGAAUUGCUAUUUUUUAUAUGGCUGAGUUUCAAAUGAAGAGGGAAUGUCAUUUCAUUUAAUUAUAUCUUAUUUUUUGACCAUUCCAAUAGAAGGCUCUGAAGUGAAUAUUCCCAUUCAAAUAUUCUGUGUUGUCAGGCUGAAAUGAUCAGGCCUUCAUACAUUCACCUUACUCAGUCACAGGCUCUAUAAAAUUUGCCUUUUUAAAUGAAUAAAUUGAGCCAAAGCCAUCUAGGAAAUGUAUACUUCAUAUU